rnacentral:rRNA from 1 species
ACAGCAGCAGCCGCGGGAAUACGUAGGGUGCAAGCGUUAAUCGGAAUUACUGGGCGUAAAGCGUGCGCUGGCGGUUCGCUAAGACAGAUGUGAAAUCCCCGGGCUUAACCUGGGAACUGCGCUUGUGACUGCACAGCUAGAGUAUGGCAGAGGGGGGUGGAAUUCCACGUGUAGCAGUGAAAUGCGUAGAGAUGUGGAGGAACACCGAUGGCGAAGGCAGCCCCCUGGGCCAAUACUGACGCUCAUGCACGAAAGCGUGGGGAGCAAACAGGAUUAGAUACCCCUGUAGUCCCUGUCUCUUAUAC